rnacentral:rRNA from 1 species
GUGACUGCGUACCUUUUGUAUAAUGGGUCAGCGACUUAUAUUCUGUAGCAAGGUUAACCGUAUAGGGGAGCCGUAGGGAAACCGAGUCUUAACCGGGCGUUAAGUUGCAGGGUAUAGACCCGAAACCCGGUGAUCUAGCCAUGGGCAGGUUGAAGGUUGGGUAACACUAACUGGAGGACCGAACCGACUAAUGUUGAAAAAUUAGCGGAUGACCUGUGGCUGGGGGUGAAAGGCCAAUCAAACCGGGAGAUAGCUGGUUCUCCCCGAAAGCUAUUUAGGUAGCGCCUCGUGAAUUCAUCUCCGGGGGUAGAGCACUGUUUCGGCUAGGGGGCCAUCCCGGCUUACCAACCCGAUGCAAACUGCGAAUACCGGAGAAUGUUAUCACGGGAGACACACGGCGGGUGCUAACGUCCGUCGUGAAGAGGGAAACAACCCAGACCGCCAGCUAAGGUCCCAAAGUCAUGGUUAAGUGGGAAACGAUGUGGGAAGGCCCAGACAGCCAGGAUGUUGGCUUAGAAGCAGCCAUCAUUUAAAGAAAGCGUAAUAGCUCACUGGUCGAGUCGGCCUGCGCGGAAGAUGUAACGGGGCUAAACCAUGCACCGAAGCUGCGGCAGCGACGCUGUGCGUUGUUGGGUAGGGGAGCGUUCUGUAAGCCUGUGAAGGUGGCCUGUGAGGGUUGCUGGAGGUAUCAGAAGUGCGAAUGCUGACAUAAGUAACGAUAAAGCGGGUGAAAAGCCCGCUCGCCGGAAGACCAAGGGUUCCUGUCCAACGUUAAUCGGGGCAGGGUGAGUCGACCCCUAAGGCGAGGCCGAAAGGCGUAGUCGAUGGGAAACGGGUUAAUAUUCCCGUACUUGGUGUUACUGCGAAGGGGGGACGGAGAAGGCUAUGUUGGCCGGGCGACGGUUGUCCCGGUUUAAGCGUGUAGG